rnacentral:rRNA from 1 species
AUUGAACGCUGGCGGCAGGCCUAACACAUGCAAGUCGAACGAGUGGCGGACGGGUGAGUAAUGUCUGGGAAACUGCCCGAUGGAGGGGGAUAACUACUGGAAACGGUAGCUAAUACCGCAUACCAUCGGAUGUGCCCAGAUGGGAUUAGCUAGUAGGUGGGGUAACGGCUCACCUAGGCGACGAUCCCUAGCUGGUCUGAGAGGAUGACCAGCCAACCUGGAACGGGGACACGGUCCAGACUCUUACGGGAGGCAGCAGUGGGGAAUAUGGCACAAUGGGCGCAAGCCUGAUGCAGCCAUGCCGGGUGUAUGAAGAAGGCCUUCGGGUUGUAAAGUACUUUCAGCGGGGAGGCGUUACCCGCAGAAGAAGCACCGGCUAACUCCGUGCCAGCAGCCGCGGUAAUUC